rnacentral:rRNA from 1 species
CCUACGGGUGGCAGCAGUGGGGGAUAUUGGACAAUGGGGGAAACCCUGAUCCAGCGACGCCGCGUGAGUGAAGAAGUAUUUCGGUAUGUAAAGCCCUAUCAGCAGGGAAGAAAGAAAUGACGGUACCUGAGUAAGAAGCCCCGGCUAACUACGUGCCAGCAGCCGCGGUAAUACGUAGGGGGCAAGCGUUAUCCGGAAUUACUGGGUGUAAAGGGAGCGUAGACGGUAAUGCAAGUCUGGAGUGAAAGGCGGGGGCCCACACCCCGGCCGGCUGUGGAAACUGUGAAUCUGGAGUGCAGGAGAGGCAGGCGGAAGUCCUGGUGUAGCGGUGAAAUGCAUAGAUAUUAGGAGGAACACCAGUGGCGAAGGCGGCCUGCUGGACUGUAACUGACGUUGAGGCUCGAAAGCGUGGGGAGCAAACAGGAUUAGAUACCCGGGUAGUC